rnacentral:tRNA from 1 species
GCAGGGGUAGCCAAGUGGUCAAAGGCGCAGGACUUAAGAUCCUGUGGCUUAGUGCCUUCGUGGGUUCGAAUCCCACCCCCUGCA